rnacentral:tmRNA from 1 species
GGGGAUGCAAGGCAUAGACAGUUGGCCAUUUGUCUACGAUGCAUGUCGAGUAUGGACGUAAUCUCGUUAAACUUCGUUCAAACGCCAAUUGCAAAAUUGACUCAAAGUGAACAGAAAUCUCCAUACUUCGGUAUGCAAGAUUUCCGUUUCGCUCUAGCUUAACUUCGGUUCGGCUAGCGUCUCUCUCAUAGACUUCCGAUAUAUGAGUCGAGGUGUAAUAUUAUCGGGAUAAGGAAAUAUCCGCUCGCAUAUUUCACCAAAAUUUAGAGCUCGGUUAAAAAAUAUUUGGCUCGUUUCUUAAUUUUUUAAUUUAAACAAACAAAGCGCGCUACACAUGUAGAUUUCUUAGCAAAAACCUUCUGCACUGGGAUUCAAUUUCCCACAUCUCCACAA